CUGUGGGCGUGGGUGAGGUUUCCCGGAAGCACGUGUGGUGUGGGAAGCGGGGAGCCUGGAAGCCCCGGGAGAAAGAGGGGCCCUUCAAGCUGAGGCUGAACAGAAAGGCAGUGCAUCCUCUCCUGCCGGCAUGGACAGACUGCUCCUGCCACCCAGCCUCCGGGCUGCUGUGAGAAUGGAGUAACAGGAAAGCACCGAGUGCCUGGCACACAGUAGGUGCUUACUAAGUCAGGGGACAGAGAAGAUAGUGACUAGUGUUGUCCAGCUCCCAGCAGGUGGACCCAGCGUGGGGUGGGUGGGGGUGUGUGUCCCUGGGCUAUGGGUACCCGCAUAUCCACUCCAGAUCUACCCCUUGUGGUUUGCCUGGGCCCGAAGCUGAGCCCUCCCGCCCCACAUCUGCUGUCUGCAGAGGCCUCCCCAAAGCCCAGAGGCCAGGCCUGUAUCCUGC